AAACAUGCAGGUUACCGUGUUGAUAUUUCGCUGAAUGCUGUUCUGAAGUGGGGUGUUUGGGGCCUCGGAGGCCGGCGCCCCUGUAUUGUGCUGGGGGAGGGACUGGCCAUUUGAAGUCAAGUGAAGCCCAGUGAGACAGUGGAGGAGAGGGGUCAUGCCACUGCAGUUCCUCGCUAUGCCAUUCAUACAGAGCAUUCUCCAUGCUCAGGAGUCCAGGAGUCCAGUGGGCCCAUGAUGCCCAGGAGCUCGUCGAGACUCAGGGAGCAAAACAGAUCCAUUGAAAAUGACACGAGAAGGAACGAGAGAGCAAGGAUGAUCCAUAGCUCCCUGCCCUUUCAUUCAGCCUCAUCAUAAGCCAAAGGUGCGGAAGACCUACUUAAAACCUGAGAGUCUCGAAUAGGAGAGGCGCUUUCAGAUCAGCCCGAGUCUUCUGCAGCGCACAGGAGCUAGUCGUACUGAAAAGAAUGAAGUUGGACUUGUCCAGGCGAGUUUCGGACAGUGCUGGGCUGCCCUGCUCUGAUCUCCUGGGUGUCUUCACCUCCUCUGGUUCCUAAGUCGGCUGCUGCACCAGCACCCAUCAAACUCUCCUGGAAGAGGAAGUGACAGCUCACCGGUAGCCUAGAAGGCCCCUGUGGGCAGAAGCAUGGACUUACUCCUCCUCAUGGAGAUGCGGCUGAGCCAUAUUUCCUUGGCACCUCUCUGGAACCUUCGACAACCACCACCUCAGACACUAACCAGACUUUAGGUCCAUUCCUUUCAUGGCUAAAAUGAGACAGUCCACAAUGUUGAUUUUAUUUGUAGGGGAUGUCAGGAUUCCAGAAAAGCAGACUUGGAAAGCAACAAAACGUUAACUUGCAGCUCACUGAGGCCCUUACACUUGUUCUGGGCACCUCUGUAUGUUAAAAGAAGUCCAAUAUCUUUAGCUGCUGGUUAUAGGUGGCCAUAUGUUUCUGCACAGAAAUGGGGCUCCCCUUGCUAGACUAAUUUUCUAAUUUUUCCUCAAGCUUCAUUGAUUCAUAUUCUUCUACUUGACCCUGACUGUCAGGACCAACAACACCAAAUAACACCAAAGUCUCUUGCUCCUGUCCUCAGAACCUCUCAGAGGCAUCCUCUGCCCUGUUGGAGCCAUUUUAUUUCAGGUUGAUCCUUAAUUAAAUUCAGCGA
ensembl:lncRNA LINC02036 long intergenic non-protein coding RNA 2036